UCCUCGAGCCCUGGGGACGCGGUGUACGGCUCAGUAACACGUAGUCAACCUACCCUAGAGACGUGGACAAACUCGGGAAACUGAGGCCUAUCCACGAUAGGUCAUAUCAUCUGGAAGGAGAUAUGGCCCAAAAGGACGGUGCGGGCUUCUUCCGCUCCGUUCGCUCCAGGAUGGGACUGCGGCCGAUCAGGCUGUUGGCGGGGUAAUGGCCCACCAAACCUGUAACCGGUACGGGCUUUGAGAGAAGGAGCCCGGAGAUGGACACUGAGACAAGGGUCCAGGCCCUACGGGGCGCAUCAGGCGCGAAAACUUCGCAAUGCGCGAAAGCGUGACGAGGCUAUUCCGAGUGUUUUCCGCUGAGGAAGACUUUUCCCGGCUGUAAAAAGGCUGGGGAAUAAGGGGAGGGCAAGCCUGGUGUCAGCCGCCGCGGUAAUACCAGCUCCUCGAGUGGUCGGGACGAUUAUUGGGCCUAAAGCAUCCGUAGCCGGUUCCGUAGGUCUCCUGUCAAAUCCAACCGCUCAACGGUUGGGCCGCAGGAGAUACCGCGGGACUAGGAGGCGAGAGAGGCGGACGGUACUCCGCAGGUAGGGGUAAAAACCUCUGAUCUGCGGAAGA
rnacentral:rRNA from 1 species